GGGGGCAUAGCUCAGUGGUAGAGUGCAUGUUUAGCAUGCAUGAGGUCCCAGGUUCAAUCCCCAGUACCUCUG
rnacentral:tRNA from 1 species